rnacentral:tRNA from 2 species
GCCCGAUUAGCUCAGCGGUAGAGCAACCGCCUUGUAAGCGGUAGGUCGUCAGUUCAAGUCUGUCAUCGGGCUCCA